rnacentral:rRNA from 1 species
CAGUCGCCGCGGGAAUACAGAGGAUGCAAGCGUUAUCCGGAUUUAUUGGGCGUAAAGCGAGCGCAGGCGGUUAGAUAAGUCUGAAGUUAAAGGCUGUGGCUUAACCAUAGUACGCUUUGGAAACUGUUUAACUUGAGUGCAAGAGGGGAGAGUGGAAUUCCAUGUGUAGCGGUGAAAUGCGUAGAGAUUAGGAGGAACACCAGUGGCGAAGGCGGCUUUUUGGCCUGUAACUGACACUGAGGCGCGAAAGCGUGGGGAGCAAACAGGAUUAGAGACCCCGGUAGUCCCUGUCUCUUAUACA